GUACAGCCAUGUCAAGGAUACAAUGCCUCAGACCCCUGGGAUAGCAAGGCCUUCCCACGGUUCUCCAGAUGUUGGCAGUGUAUAUUUGCCACAGUUUCCUCCUCCCAGAUCACUGCAAUACGAGACUACUCCCUCACAAAGACCCUCUAGCAAGACUUGUCAAAGAAAACUCUGUUCAAAGCUUGUACUACAGCAGGAUUACUGGACAAGUAUUGCUACUUGGUCUAAAUGAGACUCACUGUGCUUUGUGGUCACUGUGGGCUUGUGCUUUGGAACUGUGAUUCAGAACCACUCAAAGUCCCCUUUGUUCGAAGGCAGGGAAUACAUCUCCAAACACGUUUCCAAGACUCAAGAUCUCACCUUUCAGAUCAGUGCGUCAUUCAAUGUGCAGCAGACUGCUUCUUUUUGCAACAGAUGGAAAGUAGCACAGAGAUCUGCUACCGGACAAUGUACAGAGAGUGAGAGGCUUUAGAGAGCUCGGUCCUAAACGGGAGGUCUUCAUCAAACCCCUCCCUCAAGGCUCGGGGAUCUAUGCGGAAGAGAAGGCAAAAGGAUCCCAAGAACCAGAGGUGCUGGAUGACUACAAGGUGACAGCUUCCCCAAGACACAACUGGACUGAUGCACUAUGAGCUCAGAGACUGUGGUACUGCACGUCGGACCUUGCACAGGCUCAUAUCAGAUGGGAUACCAGCGCUGAGGAGGGGGAGUAGAUACAAGGUCCACCGCUAACCAACACGUUAUUUGCAAUUGAUAUCUGCUGGCAGAGGGAAAAUCGGUUUUCUACAAUGAACCAUGACUGGAUCUAUCAACCAUAAUCCAGGGAAGGCCCCCACCGUCCCCCCCCCACUACUAACUUCAUUUUAUCAUCUUUGUCUUAUUUGUUGUUUUAUUUGUUUUUUUGUUUGUGUUUGAAAAAGAGAGAAAACACGCAAUUGGGUGGGUAGAGAGGUGAGGAAAAUCUGGAAAGAGUUUGGGAAGAGGAAAAAUGUGAUGAAAAUGUUAUUUUAUGAAAAACAUUUUAAGUAAAAAGUUUAAAAAAAAAAAGCCGGGCAGUGGUGGCACAUACCUUUAGUCCCAGCACUAGGGAGGCAGAGGCAAGAUGAUCUCUUUGAGUUCAAGACCAGCCUGGUCUACAAGAGCUAGCUCCAGGACAGCCUCUAAAGCCACAGAGAAACCCCGCCUCGAAAAACCCAAAAAAACAAAACAACAACAACAAAAAACCCAAAAAAUCAAAACAAAUUGUCAAUGAACAUUUUAUUUUACUGAAAGUGUUAUUCUACUUUUAUUAGUCAUUACUAGCAACUUUACUUUUAAUAGAAAUCAUAACUUGUAUUUGUAUUUGUAGGUGAAUUUUAAGAUGGAAAUAUUUGUGAAGGGCUACUUGUUAGUGUAACAACAGUGGCCAGAUCCAUGGGUUUUAGGGGGACAUUGGCAGGAAGGUCUCCGUGAGCAAGGACCCUCUGGGACUGAAGGCUUCCUGAGGCCAGAGAUUUUUGAUUUAUGUACUCCCGGCUCUGUCUAACAAAGUGCCUGACGUAUUGUUAAAGAGAUCUCUGAGAGUGUUUGCUGCUUUUUCCCCCCUCUUUGUACACAAAUUUUCUCUUUCAGCCAAUGUUUUCACAAAAAGAGAAUGACUUUGCUGCUUUUUGAUGAACAGCUGGGUUCUGCUGCCUAAUGCGUUCUUGAAAGAUGAAGUAAUCUUGAGAACUCUGACAUGCUUGGGUGACUGUUUCCUACUCUCUUGCUCAUAGUUUUCAGUGACAUUAUUUAUGAAACUUUUCCUUUAUUUAAUAAUUAAAUUAGAUCAGAAAUGUAUCUAAUAUUAAAUGUUUAAGUAUCCAAAUAAAAGAAUUCUCAGUGUUCAGAGUUGAAAAGGGGAAAGGGUCAUUAUAUUCCAUUAUUGUUGUUAUGUGUGUUGGGAGGGUGCUCAUAGGGGGCCAGAUGACAGUCUUGUGGAGUAGGUUCUUUCUUUUCCUGGGCUCCCGGGACUGAACUCAGAUUAUCAGGUUGGGUGACAAAUGCCUUUACCAUCUCUCUGGCACUAGAUUUUUAUUGUUGCUAAAAAUUUCAGUUGAUUAAUGUCUUUCCUAGUCUACGACCCGUAGCCAUCAAUAAAUGUCAUCAGCACCAAAAUUAAAAGUGUAUUUCAUAAUCAAAUGAAACUUUUGAGAAAUAAUUUCUCAAGGGCUUUCCAUAACUGGAGGGUGUCUGUGUGGAGUGCUCACGGGACUCUGCCUGAAUCAUGGCAGGUGGCCGCCUGUCUAUGCAUGUGAAUGGCACCCGGUUUCAUUGGCCUUCCUGAGUAAUUACAGUGCCAUUGGCCCUGAGCCAGCAUCAGAGCUUCAAAAAUGAGUAGAGACAUCAUAUCCAAAACCUAUGUGUUAUGGAUACAAUAUUGGUAUGAACACAGACAAAAUACAAUGAUGUAAAUAAAACAAUGGGUGUCUAGAUAUUGAUAAUGCCCAGCCCUAUAUUCAUACUUCUCCCGGCCUGUGUGGGUUUGGAUGGGAGGACUGGGUGAUAUACCACAUCCCCCUUUUCUGCUUUGUAUUUUAAGACAGAGUGAAGUUGUCUAGGCUGGACAUGAAUCUGCUCUGUAGCCCAGGCAGGCUGUAAGUUUGUGGUCUUGAAGGGACCAGCUCCCCAUUUAGGCAGCCAUAACAGCCAAACACAUGUGCCUUUAUUGUCUGACCUUGUCUUAGUCACUAGGAGGUCAGACGUCUGCCUCAUGGCA
ensembl:lncRNA